AAUGAACGCUGGCGGCGUGCUUAACACAUGCAAGUCGUACGAGAAAUCCGCCUUCGGGUGGAGAGUAAAGUGGCGCACGGGUGAGUAACGCGUGGGUAAUCUACCCUCGAAUUGGGGCUAACAUACCGAACGGUGUGCUAAUACCGAAUAAGACCACGAUCACUCCGGUGAUCGGGGUCAAAGAUGGCCGCUGCUUGCAAGCUUUCGGUUGAGGCUGAGCCCGGGUACCAUUAGCUUGUUGGUGGGGUAAUGGCCUACCAAGGCAACGAUGGUUAGCUGGUCUGAGAGGAUGGCCAGCAACACUGGAACUGGAACACGGUCCAGACUCCUACGGGAGGCAGCAGUGAGGAAUUUUGCGCAAUGGGGGAAACCCUGACGCAGCAACGCCGCGUGAGUGAAGAAGGCCUUCGGGUUGUAAAGCUCUGUCAAGUGGGAAGAAUCUUUCUCGAUCGAAUAAGUCGAGAGACUGACGGUACCGCUGAAGGAAGCACCGGCUAACUCCGUGCCAGCAGCCGCGGUAA
rnacentral:rRNA from 1 species